rnacentral:lncRNA from 1 species
CGGCGGCCGCGUGGUACAAGGGCCCAGGCCCCGACCUGAGGGCGUCUGGGGUGAUAGGCUUUAAAAGGUCCGCAGCGGGAGGUGAAAGAGGUGUUUAGGAUGACGAGAAAAACGUAUAAAGUAUUAUUUCACCUAACAGCGGGCAGGGAAAGACCUCACCUGUUACAGGAGGGCCUCCACCACACAGCUGCUGCCCACUUCAGUGGCCUCCAGAGUGGAGCGGUCAAGAUGACCUGUGGAGUGCUGGAAGAACAUUCUAGAGCCUGUAUCCCUACUUAUUUUUUCUUUUUACAUCUGUUAUGUGUUUUAUAAUUUAUGUAAGAUUGACAUACCAUGCACAUGACCUUAAAAGGAAAUACACGAGGGUGUGCCCAAGCAUGUAAGCUUUACCAGCAUAGGCAAGGGUCAGAAAUUUGGAGGUAAGGGCCUGAUGGUCUGUCGUUAGGAUCUGGUGCUUUCACCACUGCAGCCUAGGUUCAGUCCCUGGUCUGGGAAUUGAGAUCCCACAGCAAGCCACUGCACACCAUGGCCAAAAAACACCGAAAAAUUGGAGACAGCUUUCCUACGUUACCGGUCUCCUUCAUGUACUCUUUGCCUGUGCUUCCCAAGCCUGAGUUUGCAUCAGAAUCCCCUGACGGGAGUUCCCGUCGAGGCGCAGCGGAGACGAACCCGACCAGGAACCGUGAGUUUGUAGGUUCAAUCCCUGGCCUCACUUAGUGGGUUAAGGAUCUUUUGUGGUUGUGGCUGUGGCAUAGGCCAGCGGUGUAGCUCCAAUUCGACCCCUCCAUAUGCCACAGGUGCGGCCCUAAAAAGGAAAAAAAAAAAAUCACCUGAUGGACUUUUUGAAGCGGUCUGUUCCUGUUCGUGAGUAGGGCCUUAAAACCUAGAUGUGCUGAUGCUACUGGGCUGGGAACCACCCUGGAAGGACCUCUGCUCUAAGCUGCACCAAAACUAGGUUCCGGCUGAAGGCGGCAGCUCGUGGAAUUCCAUCUACUUGAAAUGCCCUCGUCUCUGUGAAGGUCCGUUUGCAUGGUUAGCACCUCCUCCAAGUCCUCCUACUUCGUGCAACUGGAGGUGAUCUUACUCCUUAGCGUUUAGGUAGGACUGAAUUGAUGCCCAGAAUGUUGUGCUUUGCAUUACAGUUAUUUGUAUAAUUUCACCUUUCUUACUGGAUGAGAAG